CAUUGGGUGGACUCUCUGUGAAGAACUUAUGGGAGGAUAUCGACAAGAGUAACAUGUGAUGAGCAAAUUCUACAGCAAGAUUUGCCUACCAUCACUUUUGAAGACUCUAUUUUGAUUCAAUAUGUAGAUGAUUUGCUUCUAGCUUCACCAGACCAGGAAACCUGUUGAUGUUCAAGAGCUUGUUCAAAAGGGACAUGAGAUUUCAAAGAACAAGGUACAGUGGUGUAAGUCACAAGUAGAAUAUUUGGGUUUUAUCUUGUCACCAGGAAAAAGAACUAUUACACCAAAGAGAGUUCAGACUUUGAAAAAUUUAUCCAUUCCUAAAACUAAGAAGCAGAUAUGAGCUAUAUUGAACUGACAAAGAAUUUGGUCACUGAGCCUUUGGAGGUGAAACCAGAACCACUUGUGGCCUCUCAGGGAGCUAACAAAGGCACUAUUAACUGUACCCACCCUUGGGCUUCCUAACUACUCUAAGCAUUUCACUUUGUAUGUACACAAGAGGAGGGAGGUAGCAUCUGGAAUUCUAUCUCAAGCUUUUGCUUUUUCCCAAGGACCUGUAGCUUACUACUCAGCUCAGCUAGAUCCUGUAGCAGCAGGAGCUCCUCCUUAUCUGGCAUUUUCAGAUAAGAGAAUUGCUAGAUAUGAAGUGACUCUAUUAGCAAAUGAGAAUAUCACCAUAAAGAGAUGCAACACCCUAAAUCCUUCCACAUUACUCCCAGAUCUUCCUGUAUCAGGGGACAUAACGGUGAAUCUGUUCCUGAACUAUCAGAAAGACCACAUCAGGAUUCGUUGGACAUUCCUCUGGAAAAUCCUGAGCUUGGUGGUUCUUCCUUUGUUGAACAAGGCUGUCAUUUUACUCAGGCAGUCGUGGUUACAGACUUUGAAAUCUUAUGGGCAACCUCUUUGUCUUCCAAUCUGAGGGCUCAAGCUACUGAACUUAUCAUGCUAACGAAAGCUUGUUUCUUAUCCAAAGGAAAGACUGUUAACAGCUACUCAGAUUCUUGCUAUGCUGUGGGAAUAUGUAAUGCCACAGAAAUGUUGUUGUUACAAAGGGACUUCCCUUACCUCCACUGGAAAACAGGUAGCCACUCUGACAAGAUAAAGGACUUGUUAGAAGCUAUACAAUUGCCCAGAGCCUUGGCCAUCAUACAUCGUUCAACACACAAAAAGGAAAGUGAUUCUGUGUCCAGAGGAAAUGAAAGAGCUGAUUUAGCUGCUAAGUCAGCAGCCAAAGAUCACCAUGAUGCUAGCUGCUCCAGAAGAGAAACCUGAUAAAGACUCUGUUCUCCCUAAAGGAAAUUGGCCAGGAAUCAUCUAUGAAGACAAGGAAGUGGACACUUGGAUUAAGCAGUAUGAUGCUAAGCAGGUAUCAGGGAUCUGGAGCCAACAAGCAAUUCCACUGGGAAACUCCUAACUCUUGAAAAUUUCUAUGGAGACAAGGAGUGAACUAUAGAGUCAAUAGGGGGCAGCAAGAUCCAUAUACAUAUAAAACUUAAAAGAAAAAUGGAAAUUAGUGUCAAGCACUGGAAGAACUCAACAAAGAAUUCCAAAUGGGAAAAAGAAAUGAAACUAAUGCAAAAAGAAAAUAAUAACUUAAAAACCAAAUGAGGAAAUUGAGGUGCAUGGAAGUUAUGUGACUUGUCUGAAGUCACAAAAUUAAUCUUCACUUCCUUUUUGAAGAUGGUAAAGCCAAAGGCAAUGAUGUCAAAAAAAGGUGGAGGUAUCUCAAUGAUUAAACAAUUUUUUAGGCAAAAGAUAUUUUAAAAAAUCCUUCCAGAUUCCCAUAUCUACCAAGAGGACACCUGACCUCAUGUUUGGCACAUGAAAAGACUCUUCAUCUACAAUGAAUUCUAAAGCCAAAAUGCAAAUGUUUCAACUUUCCAACUGUGUAACUGAUUCCAGCUGAAUGAAGAAUAUUGUAAAAAAACGAAUAAGCAAAAUGAUGACCCUGACUCAGGAGCCAAUAUAUAUAUAUACAUAUAUAUAUAUAUAUAUACUCACCCAGUAGCAACCAUGGUUUAAUAACACCAACUUGCAGGUCCAGGCUUAGGUCCUGCACAAAACCACAGCCACCCCCACUGCCAGGCUCAACUUCUUCCACAACGUGAAUUCUGGCAUCUUUCCAGGUUUCUAUAAUUUUUUUCCCAGUUAAGGUUGUCACCCUGGUGCAUUGCUUCCUGAGAUUAGUCCGUGAGAAUGCUCUAAUUUCCUGGUUAAGGGAGUGCAUUACAUGAACAGUCGCUGGUAACAAAUAAAAACAAGUCUAAGAUGUACCAGAUGAGCCGUGACCUCCUCUUCUUUGAUCUCACAGGAUGCAACACAGCUUUCCAUUGGUCAUUCAAAAGCAGUGGCUGAUUGGCUCUUGUUUCUGCUUCCUCAUUCAAGGGAAAAAUUCAGUUCUUUCCACCUCGUACAUCCAAAUGAAAAUACCUUUUAAUUAGUUGAAAAUAUGCACUAUAUUUGCCGCAUAGGUGAAGUGAGAAGUUAAAGCAAGAAUUGUACAUUUGGAAACUGUAUAUACACGAAUGGCUGAAUUCAUCAAAACAAUGGAUUGAGAAAGAAAGAGUAGUACAUCGAUGAAAAAAAUAAAGACCUCCAAAAGAAAAAUGACCAAAAACUAAAAUGUUUCUAGAAAUCUUAAGUUGAUGAAUUAUAAAUGCUAGAGCAGUGAAUGUUUCUGGAUAUGCCUAAAUAAGAUAUACCCAUAUUUUCUGAAUUUAUGAACAAUUUUCAUGGGAAGAUGGCACAUGAGAUACCGCUGCUAAAGUCUAUUCUGAAGCCUCACUAAGGCAUUAAGGUAACCCGAUUUCUCAAAGGCUCUGAUAAUGGAACAAAAACUCAAUUAAAUCCUGUCAAAUUGGAAAAGUUUUUUUAGUUAGAAUCUGGUGAUGGACAUCUACAAACCAACCUAGCUAAUUUUUAAAAAGUCCAACACCAGAUUGCUAAAACACAGAAGGAUUAUAAAACUAUUGAAGGAGGGAGUACAGUACUCACACUUAAGAGAUCACAAGUUUGACAGAAUUGAAGUAUAGGAUGCUGUUUAUUUUAGUCCCUGAAUGGCCUUUCAUAGAAGAUCGGAAUCCUAUUGUGCUGAGAAUUAAAAAAAGGCAUGAGAUUUAUUAAGAAGUAUGUAAUGGAGGAAUUGAUCAGUUUCUAAUAAGUUAUUGCAAUUUAAUAUGAUGGUGGGAAUAUGCAUCUAGAAGACAGUUACAUUCUGUAAACAGUAUUAUAUACAUGAUGGCAUAUGUAUAGAAACCUGGGAUCCAGUUCUGACUUUGGUAUUAACUAGUUCAGUAUCCUUGGGGUGUAUGGGGUGCUCAGGGAGGGGUAGUAUCUCUGGUAUGGAGGGCUUGUCCUGCCCUCUUAGGGCAGCUCUCCAGCCUCUGACGCCCACCUAAUACCCAGCUCUCACUUGUGGCUCCCAGUAGCUGCUAGCAUGCGGCAGCGGCCACACCCCGGGCGACAGGCUGGCUAAACCUUGUGAGGGUAGCCAUCGGGUCCUCGACCCCUGGUGAACCAGGGCUUUGCUCACCCAGCAUGUGAAGACUGCUUUGGCGGAACAGGCGGAAGAAACUAAAAAGAAGGUUCAAUGGCUGAGAUGGCGACGCAGCAAAGCACUGUGGAGUGCUUAGGGCGUGUUGGAGCACAAAAGAUAACACGGCCAUCCAAUGCAGCUGAGGAAGUCUCCAGGUGUAACGAUUUUUCGUGCCACUGGACCCAGGCUUCCAACGCCGAGAGAGUGGGACUGUCUCUGUGCACUGACUUUUCCACUUAAAUCUCCUUCACGCACAAGUGUUUUUGUGCACACUCAUCUAUCACAGAUGAACACACACAAAGACAAUCGUCAUCCUCGGUUACCGAGAGACUACUACUACAUAUCCCUGGGGUAAAUUGCUUAUUCUCCCUAGGCCUCAGUUUCUUCACAUGUAAAAUAAGGAGAUUGGACUCACUGGUAGAUAAGACUAUUUAUGAGAGGCUAUAAGCUCCUCCAAGGAAGGACUGUCUUUGUUUUUGUGUCCCUGGUGCCUUUCCUAGUGCCUUGUAUUUAGAAGAUAGUUAAUAAAUGUGAAUUGAAUUGAAUUGAAAUUUAGCUCUAAUGUACCAUGAUACAUCAGUUUGGGGAACAGCAAAUACUUUAAAAACAAAUAGUGGGGGCAGCUGUGUGGCUCAGUGGAUUGAAAGUCAGGCACAGAGAUGGGAGGUCCUGGGUUCAAAUAUGACCUCAGACACUUCCUAGAUGUGUAACCCUGGGCAAGUCACUUAACCCCCAUUGCUUAACCCUUACCACUCUUGUGCCUUAGAACCAAUACCCAGUAUUGAUUCUAAGACAGAAGGUAAGAGUUAAAAAAAAAAUCCAAAUAGUGAUUUCCCUUAGCUGCUUCAUUUGGAAAGGUGUUUUUUUUGAGUGAUGUUUAGUUUUAUCUUGAUACCUGUUUAUUGAUCUACCAUGUUAAAAAUAGCUGUACUGGUAAAAUCAACAGGAGUGCACAUUGGUUUGUUUAGUAGAUUUAUAUUCGUAUAACUUUACUUCAAUACUUAAGAAGAAGGAUAGUCUCAUCAGGGUUGGGUUGACUGCCAAUGUCACACAGCACAGUCUAUUCAUGUUUCUCAUCCUGUGAUACUCUUCCAAACAUCCUGCUAUAUAAAUCUUCCAUAGUGGGCUCACCCAUUCUAUCGGCAUUCUCCCAGAUCUUUUUAACAUUAAAUGGAUACCAGUGCAAUACUCGAGUUUUUCAUGUCAUCUUUUGCUCUCAUUGUGAAUGGUCCGCCUCCAUUUUCCAGAACACAUCUCCUAAAUCACUGAUAUCUUUUAUGCUACACCAAGUACUGAAGCUGCCAUUAAAAAUCUGCUACAGCCUACUUCCUCCCACUAUCAUCUUUCCAUUGCCUUUUCAGUUACCAGCAAUUUUGGUUAUUUGAAGACUGUAGUGUUUCAUUAUUUAUAGCCAUGUAAUAUCAUAAGAUAAUAUUUAUACUAGUCAAAAUGUAGAAAUUGCUCCCUAAAAUUUAUAUGUAUGUUUUAAACACACAUGUACCUAUGCAUACACAUAAAUUCAGGUAUAUAAUUCCCUCUAUGAUUAAAUGAAGAAGCACUAUGAAAAAACUUUUGUUUUUUCUUGUUCUAACUCAGAGCACAAAGAGAAGUAAAUGUAGAUAAGUAGCUUAUGAGCAAAUGCUACUAAAUCAUUUGCUACCGAUUGCAUUGAUUUACAUUUGGGAGCUUGUAAUCAUGGUCAAUUUCACUAUAGUACUGAAUAUGAAACAUCAUAUUGAACCAGAUGUGUAAUCACUUCUUUUAGAUUCAAAGAGAAGUUGUUAUGCAUAAACUAUCAAGAUGAAGAGGAGAGGAAAACCUUUCUGGUUGUAUAGUAGCAGAAAUUCUUAAACUCCAUGUUAAUCAAAUGGAAAAUAGGAGCUUCUAGUAAAAUUGCUGGUCUAUGUGUUUUCCCAAAAGGAUUAAUUUCUUGGAAACUUCUGAGUAUUAAGUGAUGUUUUUCAUGGAUUUUUUUUUAACAAGCACAAAUUUGUUCAACAUCAACAGCAAUAUGAAUAAAUACUUAAGGAUCUGUC